rnacentral:lncRNA from 1 species
AGUGAGAUUUAAUGAUGCUUUGGAUUUCUCUGCUGUCUAUUGUUAUGUUCUCCUUUUCUUUUCUGAUUUUGAUAUUCUUUCUUAGACUUUCUGUUAGUUCCACUAGGAGCAUGUCCUUGGUUUUGUUGAUACUGUAUAUUGUUUUCUCUGUUACUUACUAAUUGAUUUCAGCUCUGAAUCUGAAUAUAUAGCAUGUCUCUUGAUGUUGUUCUUUUUAUCUUGUGUAUAGAAUGUCAUGGUAAGACUUCAGAAGUUUAGCUUCUGGUCUUUCACGGAGAUACAAGUACAUAGCAAGCUCCCUGUUCCUCUGGGACUUACAUUUCUUUUGCCUCUGCUCCUGGGAAUCUCUCAACUUUGAUCAAGAAAUUAAGGAAUUCUGAAUGCAGAAGAAAUGACUCUUCUCCAGAGAAAGAACAGAAACAAAAAAUGCAACAGAGACUGAAGGGUCCACCUGAGGAUCCAUCCUGACUACAGACACCAAAGCCCGGCACUGUUGCUGUUGCCAAGAGGCACUUGCUGACAGGAACCUUAUGUGGUUGCUCCUUGGGAGGUUCAUCCAGCAACUAACCAAAGCAGAUGUGGAUGCUUGGAGCCAAUCAUCAGACUGAGUUCAGGGACCCUGGUUGGGGAGCUGGUGGAAGGCCUGGAAGGGCUGAAGGGGAUUGCAACCCCAUAGGAAGAACAACAUCAGCUGGCCGGACUACCCAGUGUUCCAAGGGACUAGUCCACCAACAAAGGAGUACACAGGGAGGGAUCUAUGGCUCCAGAUACAGACGUAUCAGAGAAUGGCCUUGUUUGACAGCAAUGGGAGGGGAGGCCCUUGGUUGUGUGGAGGUUUGAUGCCCCAGUAUGGGGUGAUGCUGGAGGGGUGGGAUGGGAGAUGGUGGGUGGGUGGAGGAACACCCUCAUAGAAGCAAAAGGGAGGGAGGAGAGGGAGGUUAAGGGAUGAGAGUCUUGUGGAGGGGUAACCUGGAAGUGGGAUAUCAUUUGAAAUAUAAAAGAAUGUAUUGAAUAUAUAUAUAUAAUUA